rnacentral:lncRNA from 1 species
AGGAUCCAUUUGGGGUGUCCAGGGGGGUCUGGGACCCAUCCUGCGAGUCCAGAAUCCAUUUGAAGAGUCCGGGAUCCAUCUGCAGGAUCUGGGAUUUGUCCAGGGGGGUCCAGAAGUGGUUUGGGAUCCAUUUGUGGGGGUCUGGGAUACAUGAAGGGAUCUGGGACCCCUUUGAGGGGUCUGGGAUCCAUUUGUGGGGUUCAGAACCCAUUUGGGGAGUCCAGGAUCCAUCUGUGGGGUCUGGGAUCCAUCCAGGGGGAUCUGGGACCCAUUUGUGGGGCCCAGGGGGAUCUGGUCACGCCCUCGUUGGUCCCAGAGCAUCCAGGAGGGAAUCGGGCCCGGAUCCACAGCCGGGAUCCGACCGUGUCCGGUGUCCAGGGCUGUCCUGGGAGUGUCCCUGCCCUGGAAUUGUCCCUGUCCCAUUGUCCAGCUGUGUCCUGGGAGUGUCCCUGUCCUGGAAUUGUCCCUGUCCGGGAUCUGUCCCUGUCCUGGAACUGUCCCUGUCCCAUUGUCCAGCUGUGCCCUGGGAGUGUCCCUGUCCCAUUGUCCAGCUGUGUCCUGGGAGUGUCCCUGUCCUGGGAUCCGGCCAUGUCCAUUGUCCAGAGCUGUCCUGGGAUCUGUCCCAGUGUCCGGCUGUGUCCUGGGAUCUGUGUCCAGUGUCCAGCGCUGUCCCAGCACUGUCCCCAUCCCUGUCCCAUUGUCCAGUGCUGUCCUGGAAUUGCCCCUGUCCCAUUGUCCAGCCGUGUCCUGGGAUCCAGCCGUGUCCAGUGCUGUCCUGGGAGUGUCCCUGUCCCUGUCCUGGGAUCUGUCCCUGUCCCAUUGUCCAGCCGUGUCCUGGGAUCCAGUUGUGUCCAGUGUCCCUGUCCCAGUGUCCAGCUGUGUCCCUGUCCCUGUCCAGUGGGGGGCCGUGUCCCCGUCCCUGUCCUGGCCAUGUCCAGUGCUGUCCUGGGAUCCAGCCAUGUCCCAGGAUUUGGCCGUGUCCAGUGUCCAGCUGUGUCCCUGUCCCUGUCCUGGCCAUGUCCAGUGUCCCUGUCCCUGUCCAGUGUCCAGCUGUGUCCCUGUCCCAAGACCUGGCUGUCAUGUCCAGCAGUGUCCCUAUCCCUGUCCUGGCCGUGUCCAGUGUCCAGCUGUGUUGCGUCCAGCAGUGUCCACUCGUGUCCUGGGCUCUGGCCAUGUCCAGCGUCCAGCACUGUCCCUGUCCCUGUAUCUGAUCCUGUCCCAGGUGUGUCCCUGUCCCUGUCCCAGGCUCUGGCUGUGUCCCAGGGGUGCCCUGGGAUUGUCCCCAACCCCGUCCCUGUCCCCAUUCCUGUCCCAGGUGUGUCCCUGUCCCAGGUGUGUCCUCAUUCCUGUCCCCGUUCCUGUCCCAGGUGUGUCCCCAACCCGGGAUCCAACGGUGUCCCAGAUCCAGCUGUGCCCUGGGAUUGUCCCUGUGCCAGGUGUGUC